AUUCUGCCCAUACGGGGAAGGAUGAGAACCUUCGACCAAGGUUCGACUCGAGCGUCAGCGAGAGAGCGUUGCCGCAGGCAACGACCCGAAGGGCGAAGCGCGCAGCGCUGAGUAAUCCUUCCCCCACCACCA
rnacentral:sRNA from 3 species